CCAUCGAACGACCAGUAUACAUUUCCCCUUUUCCAACAAUAAUUUAAUGGCUGUGACCGGACCCCCACCAUGUUCUGUUAACCGGUGACUCCAAUCAUUCCUCCCCUUUGUGGCCUCAGAAGACGAAGAAGAAGAAGAAGAAGAGUAGGUGACGAUGACGAAGCCACCACCGACGUCAAAGACGGCAGAGCUGGACGCGCCGCUCCAUGCCAUCGGCUUCGAGAUCGACGUCGUCUCCGCAACGAGGGUCAACGGCCGGCUUACCGUCACCGAGUCCUGCUGCCAGCCGUUCAAGGUGCUCCACGGAGGGGUAUCGGCGCUGAUAGCGGAGGCGCUGGCCAGCAUGGGGGCGCACGUCGCCUCCGGGUACCGGCGGGUGGCGGGCAUCCAGCUCAGCAUCAACCACCACCGCAGCGCCCGCGCCGGUGACCGCGUCUUCGCCGAGGCCACCCCUCUCCAACCCGGCAAAACCAUACAGACCCGAAGGCGAUGUUGUGGAACCCGCCACCACUGUCUCGGCCGAGAUCUGCAGGCGUUGCCUCCGUCUCCAGUCAUCGUCACGUGGGUCGGUGGGGGGCGUGCGUUGGCAGGGCGGGAAGGGGUAGUAUUGUUCGCUAUCUGGGAAGGAAGUGAACGUGGCAACAUCUGAGCGGUAGAUAAAAGCUCCGACGUAGUGGUCCCGUGUCGAUCAGUAACGGAGGUGCCGGACCUGCUGAAACCACCACUAAUACGCCACGGCAUCGGUGGAACCGCCUUCUCUCCAAUCACAAAGCAGGUGUGGGAGGUGCGUCUAUGGAAGAUGGAUCAGUCCACCUUAGAGAAGGCGGUCUUGAUGUCCUCAUCGAGGGUUACACUGCUGUCAAAUAUGCCCGUACCAGAUGAUGCACAAGAUUCAGUGGAAAACUUG